GACGAACGCUGGCGGCGUGCUUAACACAUGCAAGUCGAACGGAAAGGCCCUGCUUUUGUGGGGUGCUCGAGUGGCGAACGGGUGAGUAACACGUGAGUAACCUGCCCUUGACUUUGGGAUAACUUCAGGAAACUGGGGCUAAUACCGGAUAGGAGCUCCUGCUGCAUGGUGGGGGUUGGAAAGUUUCGGCGGUUGGGGAUGGACUCGCGGCUUAUCAGCUUGUUGGUGGGGUAGUGGCUUACCAAGGCUUUGACGGGUAGCCGGCCUGAGAGGUGACCGGCCACAUUGGGACUGAGAUACGGCCCAGACUCCUACGGGAGGCAGCAGUGGGGAAUAUUGCACAAUGGGCGGAAGCCUGAUGCAGCAACGCCGCGUGCGGGAUGACGGCCUUCGGGUUGUAAACCGCUUUCGCCUGUGACGAAGCGUGAGUGACGGUAAUGGGUAAAGAAGCACCGGCUAACUACGUGCCAGCAGCCGCGGUGAUACGUAGGGUGCGAGCGUUGUCCGGAUUUAUUGGGCGUAAAGGGCUCGUAGGUGGUUGAUCGCGUCGGAAGUGUAAUCUUGGGGCUUAACCCUGAGCGUGCUUUCGAUACGGGUUGACUUGAGGAAGGUAGGGGAGAAUGGAAUUCCUGGUGGAGCGGUGGAAUGCGCAGAUAUCAGGAGGAACACCAGUGGCGAAGGCGGUUCUCUGGGCCUUUCCUGACGCUGAGGAGCGAAAGCGUGGGGAGCGAACAGGCUUAGAUACCCUGGUAGUCCACGCUGUAAACGGUGGGUACUAGGUGUGGGGUCCAUUCCACGGGUUCCGUGCCGUAGCUAACGCUUUAAGUACCCCGCCUGGGGAGUACGGCCGCAAGGCUAAAACUCAAAGGAAUUGACGGGGCCCCGCACAAGCGGCGGAGCAUGCGGAUUAAUUCGAUGCAACGCGUAGAACCUUACCUGGGUUUGACAUGGAUCGGGAGUGCUCAGAGAUGGGUGUGCCUCUUUUGGGGUCGGUUCACAGGUGGUGCAUGGCUGUCGUCAGCUCGUGUCGUGAGAUGUUGGGUUAAGUCCCGCAACGAGCGCAACCCUUGUUCACUGUUGCCAGCACGUUAUGGUGGGGACUCAGUGGAGACCGCCGGGGUCAACUCGGAGGAAGGUGGGGAUGACGUCAAGUCAUCAUGCCCCUUAUGUCCAGGGCUUCACGCAUGCUACAAUGGCUGGUACAGAGAGUGGCGAGCCUGUGAGGGUGAGCGAAUCUCGGAAAGCCGGUCUCAGUUCGGAUUGGGGUCUGCAACUCGACCUCAUGAAGUCGGAGUCGCUAGUAAUCGCAGAUCAGCAACGCUGCGAUGAAUACGUUCCCGGG
rnacentral:rRNA from 1 species